rnacentral:rRNA from 1 species
AGAGUUUGAUCCUGGCUCAGGAUGAACGCUGGCGGCGUGCCUAAUACAUGCAAGUCGAGCGAACGGACGAGAAGCUUGCUUCUCUGAUGUUAGCGGCGGACGGGUGAGUAACACGUGGAUAACCUACCUAUAAGACUGGGAUAACUUCGGGAAACCGGAGCUGAUACCGGAUAAUAUUUUGAACCGCAUGGUUCAAAAGUGAAAGACGGUCUUGCUGUCACUUAUAGAUGGAUCCGCGCUGCAUUAGCUAGUUGGUAAGGUAACGGCUUACCAAGGCAACGAUGCAUAGCCGACCUGAGAGGGUGAUCGGCCACACUGGAACUGAGACACGGUCCAGACUCCUACGGGAGGCAGCAGUAGGGAAUCUUCCGCAAUGGGCGAAAGCCUGACGGAGCAACGCCGCGUGAGUGAUGAAGGUCUUCGGAUCGUAAAACUCUGUUAUUAGGGAAGAACAUAUGUGUAAGUAACUGUGCACAUCUUGACGGUACCUAAUCAGAAAGCCACGGCUAACUACGUGCCAGCAGCCGCGGUAAUACGUAGGUGGCAAGCGUUAUCCGGAAUUAUUGGGCGUAAAGCGCGCGUAGGCGGUUUUUUAAGUCUGAUGUGAAAGCCCACGGCUCAACCGUGGAGGGUCAUUGGAAACUGGAAAACUUGAGUGCAGAAGAGGAAAGUGGAAUUCCAUGUGUAGCGGUGAAAUGCGCAGAGAUAUGGAGGAACACCAGUGGCGAAGGCGACUUUCUGGUCUGUAACUGACGCUGAUGUGCGAAAGCGUGGGGAUCAAACAGGAUUAGAUACCCUGGUAGUCCACGCCGUAAACGAUGAGUGCUAAGUGUUAGGGGGUUUCCGCCCCUUAGUGCUGCAGCUAACGCAUUAAGCACUCCGCCUGGGGAGUACGACCGCAAGGUUGAAACUCAAAGGAAUUGACGGGGACCCGCACAAGCGGUGGAGCAUGUGGUUUAAUUCGAAGCAACGCGAAGAACCUUACCAAAUCUUGACAUCCUUUGACAACUCUAGAGAUAGAGCCUUCCCCUUCGGGGGACAAAGUGACAGGUGGUGCAUGGUUGUCGUCAGCUCGUGUCGUGAGAUGUUGGGUUAAGUCCCGCAACGAGCGCAACCCUUAAGCUUAGUUGCCAUCAUUAAGUUGGGCACUCUAAGUUGACUGCCGGUGACAAACCGGAGGAAGGUGGGGAUGACGUCAAAUCAUCAUGCCCCUUAUGAUUUGGGCUACACACGUGCUACAAUGGACAAUACAAAGGGCAGCGAAACCGCGAGGUCAAGCAAAUCCCAUAAAGUUGUUCUCAGUUCGGAUUGUAGUCUGCAACUCGACUACAUGAAGCUGGAAUCGCUAGUAAUCGUAGAUCAGCAUGCUACGGUGAAUACGUUCCCGGGUCUUGUACACACCGCCCGUCACACCACGAGAGUUUGUAACACCCGAAGCCGGUGGAGUAACCUUUUAGGAGCUAGCCGUCGAAGGUGGGACAAAUGAUUGGGGUGAAGUCGUAACAAGGUAGCCGUAUCGGAAGGUGCGGCUGGAUCACCU